CCUUACCCACCUUUGACAUGGCAGGAAGGCUUCAGAGAUGAGGCUGUGCUCGAAAGAGAACCUGCACACAGGUGCUGCAUGGCUGUCGUCAGCUCGUGUCGUGAGAUGUUGGGUUAAGUCCCGCAACGAGCGCAACCCUUGCCAUUAGUUGCUACGAAAGGGCACUCUAAUGGGACUGCCGGUGACAAGCCGGAGGAAGGUGGGGAUGACGUCAAGUCCUCAUGGCCCUUAUAGGUGGGGCUACACACGUCAUACAAUGGCCGGUACAAAGGGCAGCCAACCCGCGAGGGGGAGCCAAUCCCAUAAAGCCGGUCGUAGUCCGGAUCGCAGUCUGCAACUCGACUGCGUGAAGUCGGAAUCGCUAGUAAUCGUGGAUCAGCAUGUCACGGUGAAUACGUUCCCGGGUCUUGUACACACCGCCCGUCACACCAUGGGAGCGGGUCUCGCCAGAAGUAGUUAGCCUAACCGCAAGGAGGGCGAUUACCACGGCGGGGUUCGUGACUGGGGUGAAGUCGUAACAAGGUAGCCGUAUCGGAAGAUGCGGCUGGAUCAC
rnacentral:rRNA from 1 species